rnacentral:rRNA from 1 species
UGGUAGUCCACGCUGUAAACGAUGUCGAUUUGGAGUUUGUUGCCUAGAGUGAUGGGCUCCGAAGCUAACGCGAUAAAUCGACCGCUGGGGAGUACGGCCGCAAGGUUAAAACUCAAAUGAAUUGACGGGGGCCCGCACAAGCGGUGGAGCAUGUGGUUUAAUUCGAUGCAACGCGAAGAACCUUACCUGGUCUUGACAUCCAUAGAAUUCUGCAGAGAUGUGGGAGUGCCUUCGGGAACUAUGAGACAGGUGCUGCAUGGCUGUCGUCAGCUCGUGUUGUGAAAUGUUGGGUUAAGUCCCGCAACGAGCGCAACCCUUAUUCUUUGUUGCCAGCGAUUUGGUCGGGAACUCAAAGGAGACUGCCGUUGAUAAAGCGGAGGAAGGUGGGGACGACGUCAAGUCAUCAUGGCCCUUACGACCAGGGCUACACACGUGCUACAAUGGCGUAUACAAAGGGAAGCGAAGGUGCGAGCUGGAGCGGAUCUCAUAAAGUACGUCUAAGUUCGGAUUGGAGUCUGCAACUCGACUCCAUGAAGUCGGAAUCGCUAGUAAUCGUAGAUCAGAAUGCUACGGUGAAUACGUUCCCGGGCCUUGUACACACCGCCCGUCACACCAUGGGAGUGGGUUGCACCAGAAGUAGAUAGCUUAACCGCGAGGGGGGCGUUUACCACGGUGUGAUUCAUGACUGGGGUGAAGUCGUAACAAGGUAACCA